UUCAGCAACACAUAUAUUUAUUGAACAAUAUUUAAAAUGUAUCACUAUAAAGAAGAUUGGCAGGGUUGCUGCACAAGGAUGACAUACAAAAUUCAUAUUUUUGUAUUGUUUUA
ensembl:snRNA U6 U6 spliceosomal RNA